UCGGCCGCGGGUGGUGGGCGGCCUGUCUCUGGAGCUGUGCGCCCUGUCUCUGGAGCUGUGCGAUUCGCUAUCGCUUCCAGUCUGCUUCCAGUCGUGCUCUGUGUCUAGCCGGAGGUGGUUUCGCUCCCGCCUUCACAAUUCUCGCUCUGCCGCGACGUCUCUUCCGCGUCGCGCACCUUUCUCGCCGCUCAACGCUUCCGUCUCCAGUGCCGCCCCUUCUUGAGAUUUUCAGGUACCAUGUCGCCCGCUUUUCAGCGAUCCAGCUCGGCCGGACCUUGAAGGCCAUGCAAAUGACGUGGUAUCAAUCCGCACAUCCACCGACCCGAUAGACGCGUGGCAAAGUGUGAGGUAUUGUGCUCAAAUUUGGAAGGUAUCUGCAGUGUUGCCGAUCGUUUGAUGUUCUCGUCUACAAAAGCAGGUAUGAUUUCCCAUCACGUAUCUUAGAUGCAUGGUUCCUAAAUGUACUAUCAUUUGGUAAGUUGUUUUACAUAUGCUUUGAAUUUUUAUAUCUUGCACUGCAAAAUACUUAAAAAGAACUUUUCACCAAUCCAACGGUUCUUCAACCAUAUUCCCUCAAUAUGGCUCUCUGCUUCAAUAAGUUCGAGUUUUUUGCUGUAAAUUUAUGGUUUUAGUUGGAGCCUUAGCAAAUACUGAUCAUUUUACAUACCUCCGAAUAACCAAAACCCAUGCUGCCAAUUUGCGAUACUCGGCAUUGAGCUUUGCUUAACUUUUUAGCGAAUAAUGGAUACAAAUUCCCCUUCAACUUUAUAGAAGUUUAGUAUUUUGUCCAGAUUUGCACACUUAUUAAUUAGGUGAAAAUUGUAAUCCCUUCAAAUUUAAGUUUUAUUUUCUUUUUAAGCCUUUAAGAGCUUGAACUUACUUCUCUGCGUAGAAUACAAUGGAUUAACAAAAUCUGUCUUCGCCUUCGGUAAAAUUAUGUACUCCGGAAACUAUUCAGCGAAAUUCAGCUGCACCAUAGUAAUACUUCUUUAAGUUUCCUAGCAGUGCAUGCAAGAUUGACUAUAAAAAGCAUAACGACGGCUUUGUCUGAAAACCGAGGGAGAACAAAGCGCAAAAUAAAUUAGGUAGUUCUUCAGGUCAACAAAGCUCUUGCUUAUAGUGAGCUCACAAAGCAUAAUAAUCAGAUAGAAUUCCUUUGGAAGGAAUUCGGCAUCAAUGUAAACCACAAAGCAAACGUCAACCUUUGACCGGGAAUCAUGCACGACACUGCCAAUUAGCCUAAACAAAAAUUUGCCAUUUCGUUUUAUCCCCUCCAACAAAUAUUUAUGCUCUUUCCAUAACCUGGCAACUUGGAACGCAUUUAUUCGCAACCGACACAGUGGAACAAGUCUUUGGAAGAAGCUGGACAUGAAAUUGUUUUGAGAAAAAUCGCAAAUUUUGAGGUUCGUCACAUUUUAAAGUUUAAGGAGUGCUUCUUAAAUAAAAAUAAACGAGGAAACCGAUGGAACCGUUUUAAAGCCUCAAAGUUAUGUAUGAACGGAGUGAUAAGCUUUUAAACUUUCCAAAUUUUGUCCGGCCUCUCUCAUUGACUCGAUUCACUGUGUACUGGACAAAAGUGGCGCGUCGUAUGCAAUUAUUCAGUCGCUUCAAAACCGUCGACAUCAAAAUAUCUGUAUCGUAUGGCAAAAUGACGCUUUAUUUAAACAGCAUUGUAGAACUCAGUGCGAAAUUCAUUCCUCAUUGUACGUUGAAUUGUAAGUGCUUGAAAGGAUGAUAUGCACCAGGCACCUGUGCUGAGAAAAAACGCCAUAUCAACAUCUGGACGUUGCAAAAUUUCCUCCUAUGAAAUAAAACAGUUCUUGAGAGCUGGCAAGUUUUUUUCUUUGAAAUUUUCACAAAAAUUUAUUUGCAGGCCAGUCCCAUACUUUUGAAAAUCUCAAAGAAAAAUAU